CCCCCCUACGGGAGGCAGCAGUGGGGAAUUUUGGACAAUGGGGGCAACCAUGAUCCAGCCAUGCCGCGUGUGUGAAGAAGGCCUUCGGGUUGUAAAGCACUUUCGGACGGAACGAAAUCGUCCCUUUUAAUAUCGCGCAUGGAUGACGGUACCGUAAGAAGAAGCACCGGCUAACUACGUGCCAGCAGCCGCGGUAAUACAUAGGUUGCGAGCGUUCAUUGGAAUUAUUGGGCGUAAAGUAUGCGCAGGCGGCGUGGCAAGUCGAUCGUGAAAGCCCCGGGCUUAACUUGGAAGUGCGCUCGAAAGUACGUUGCUGGAGUGUGGCAGAGGAAGGUGGAAUUCCACGUGUAGCGGUGAAUUGAGUAGAUAUAUGUAGGAACACCCAUGGCGAAGGCAGCCUUCUGGGCCAAUACUGACGCUCAUGCACGAAAGCGUGGGGAGCAAACAGGCUUAGAUACCAUGCUAGUCCACGCCCUAAAUCGAUGAUGACUAGUUGU
rnacentral:rRNA from 1 species